AAUUAAUCAGUGAAACAACUUGCCUCCAGAAGUUGUGGAUGCUUCAACAUCAGAAGUUUUGAAGGAGAGAUUGGACAACCAUUUGUCUGAAAUGGCAUAAGGUUUCCUGCUUAAGCAGGGGGAGGGACUAGAAGACCUCCAAGGUCCCUUCCAACACUGUUAUUCUGUUAAAUUGUGUGCAAGGAGCCCAUUCUAAGAAGACGAUAGUACCAGCAUCAAGAAUCAGAUAGGAUCAGUAGAAAAACUAAAAUUGAUUUCAUGUGGAAUUUUAAUUAAAAUAAAAUUAAAUACUUUUCAGACAAUGGCUCUUUUGUUUGACCCUUUCUGUCACAUUUUGUUCAACCCUUUCUGUCAUAUUAACCAUUAAAAAAAUUUAGUCACAACUUUGGAAAUGCUCUAAGGCAGCGGUCUCCAACCUUGGCAAAUUGAAGACUUGUGGACUUCAACUCCCAGAAUUCCUCAGCUAGCAAAGCUCAAGGUUUGGGGGACAAACUGUGAUACUAGGCACCCAGGUUGUGCUUCACUGCUACAAAGCUUUAUCUGAAAGGGAUCUAACUGCUCUUAACUGAUUAUGAAAAAGCUAAAUAGAGUCAGAUCCAUCCAGUACUUUGAUGGGAGAACUUUUGGAACAGCCAGAGCUGUAAGCUGGUCUGAAAAGCUGAAAACACCCACACAAGCAUACAUAUCCAGGGGAAAAAAGCAAACCACUUUCAUAUUGUUGCCAAGAUAAAUGAUAUGAAUUUGUUCAUGAACUCUUUUGAGACGCGAAUUAAACUCAAAACAGACUACCUUUUUAUUGUAUCAGGUAGCAAUGCCUUUCAAAAACAGAUCAAAUCUGGUCUAUCAAGGACAAUUAAAUUAGAGGAAUGGGUCCUCCUAAAAUAUAGUGGAUUUGUUUGUUUUUCUUAACUAUGGUGACAACAUUAUUCCUUCCUACUUUUUGCACCUUUACCCUACAGGUUACAUAGCAGGGUCUCAGACCUGCUCUAUGUCAAAUUCUGCUGACAUUUCAAGCAACUCAAAGUUGUCCCAUUUUCAACUUUGCAUGACUGAAAUGAGUCAUUGCUAUUACAGUUUGGGUUUUUUUGCGGGGGUGGGUGGGAGGGAGUGAAGAUCAUAUUACUGUUCUCCGCUUUGCAAAUGCUGGCUCUCCAUGUUUGUUCUUUGAAGAGUAUUUCAUGCAUUAUAUUUCAUCGGUGUACAACACAAAUGAUUAAAUACUGACCUAAAAGUCAUGAGGCUGACAAACCAUUGGUCUCACAAAGCACAUUUACAAAUGUAGGCCUGGCUGUAUUCAGGGAAGGGAAGUCUUAGGGUCCAGACCUCUAGAAAAAUAAGGUUCUUUCCCCUUGAUUUCAGUCUUCGUAAAGUCUGUUCAAUUGCUUUACAAAUAGAGUUAUAUUUUUUUAAUCAGCAGAUGAUUCAAGGCAGGGCAGAAAGAGGGUAUACAAAUUCAUAGAAUAUCUUAAUAUUCUACACCCCUUCCACCAUAAAAUAUAUUCUAAUACACAGUGAAGAAAGAAAAAAAGAUUAAUCCGUUGAACUUCAACCUUCCCUCCUCUUGAAAGAUAUUUUAAAACAAACAAACAGCAAAAGCUAGCAGGAAAAGAUCAUCUAUUAAUCGUGUCUUUUCAAAUAUUUUAAAGAUGUGUUUUAAAAUAUGGGUUGUUUUUCUUUUUUGAGAUAGUAGAUAUCAGGUAUUUGAGGGGAUAACAAUCAGCUUUGGCAUUCUUUCCUUGUAUCCAAAUCAGGAUGAUGGAACUGUAGAGUCAAAACACCAAUCCUGUUUAUUUUUGGACAACAUAGCAUGAAGAAAAUUAGCAUCUAUAUUAUAACUUGCUCAAUAAGACCCCUAACUUCUUCCAUGCCUACUCUUAAUGCUCAUCCUUAAGAGUGUAGACAUAUUGAUGAGAAGCCCAUAUAUUUUGAUGUGCUUGUAUUAUCUCAAAAGAGCUUCUGAAUACCCAGAGAUUACUGAAUCUUUUCUUAUAAAAUACUCCGUUGCAGAUUGUUACAGAAUAUGAUUGACUCCAGUCUGAUUCUAAUGCUAAAUCUGAUCCAAUUCAGUGAUUCAGCUUGAUUCAGAAAAUGAAGCUGGAUGGGGUUUUCCAGCUCAAUCCGAAAACCGAUUCAGUGAUUUGGUCCUAUUGCAAGGCACUAAUGAAACAUUCAUAGCAACUGAUACCUGUGAAAAGAAGCAGAAACAAGCCCUAACAGAUGGACAAUUGAAUUGUUCCCACAAGAGAAUCAAUCAACCACCCUACUUUUCAAACAAUGGAAUAGUUGAAGAAAGAGAGCAAUGUUGGUUUAUGGUAGCCAAAAAUCAGACAGAGUGGGUAGCAUCCUUCUAGAAUAGAUGGAGACAAUAAAAAGCAUAAACCUUCGAAUAAAAUCUAUUAGUCUGAAAAGAUGCUAUCUGAUCAGUGAGAUAAGACUGUUCUCUAAAGUAUCCUAGAUAAGCAUGUACUCAUAACAUGCAGACACAAAUCUAAAUAAAAUCUCAGUAUGAAACUGACACAAUUGAAAAUGCACAAGCAGAGGCACAGAUGUAUUGACAUAAGAGAAUAAAGUGCAGGAAGUCUAGCAUUCAAGCAAAACAUCCAUUCAUCUAGAGUUCCCCAUUCUUAGCCUACACUUGUAUCUUGGUUUUCUACUGGUCUAUUCCAUCUGCUCAUUUCUAGUGAAGUUCUAUGUAGACGUAUUUCAUUUUCUCUCAAUGGCGAUAAAAAUCCGCAGCUGGCAAAACAAACAAACACAUGAUUUUUUUUGCAAUACUGAAACCAUUUUAGAGCUUAAGACUAUUUUAAAAAAUACUGGCACAAAAUUUAAUAAAAUACAAAUUCUUUUAAACAUUUUCUUUAAACAAAAAAAAAAAGAGGUGGGUUUUUUGGUUCCCCCCACCCACCCUGACAAACAGAAGAACAGAGACCUGUCUUAUGAAAUGCAAAAAUUAUCUGAGAUCACAGUACUUGAUUAUUCAGAUAUAUUUUCCUUCUAAAACAGGAUGGUUUGCCACUUAAGACUGCUCUCCAUCAGUUAAAGACAGCAUUGUCUUACAAACACACCGAUUGUCAGUUUUUAAAACCAGGAAGAAAGGGGCAUUAAUAUGAAUUCAUUAAGUAGAUGUAACAAAACGUCACAUUUCCUGACUUCUAAAAUCCCAGCUGCAAAUACAACUCCAAGAAGAUG